GGCCUGCGGGAGGCACGUCUGUAUGCAUGGUCCUGCUAACCUCAGCGGUCCCAUGACGCUGCUGUUAUUGAAUCCAUUUUGUAAAGGUGAAAUGUAGCUCCAAAGAAGUGAAGUGACUUACCCAAGGUCACACAGCGGGGAAAGACUGAGCCAAGAUCACUUACUCUGUGUUGCUGCUGUUGGUGGCCUGGGCUGCGGGAUCUUUGUACUGGGUGACUGGUGGCUUCCUCAUUUCUCCCCUGGGAUGCUGGGUAGUGCAGUGAAAACGGAGGACACGAAGAACCAUGGCCCAGGGCAGUCUGGGAAAUGGGAGCUCUUGGCACAAGUGCAGCUGGAUUACGGGGUGUUCGGACCUUCCCACCCAGUGUUUUGUGGUCAGGUUAUUUGAGCAGUCCUCCUUUGGGACUUGGAAAUGCAAACACCGCUGAUCUCCCUGGAAUGCUAGACUAACAGCAGCCCGGCCAGUGGUGUCCAGUGCAUGCUGGGUGGACCGCUGGCCUAGGUGAGCUGCUGUGAGUGAUUGUUCUGCUACAGGUCUGUCACUGGUCUGUUACAGGUCUGUGGGAAGAGCAGUACAGACUUGGAGAACAAACUUGAGAAACUCUUACUGCGGCAUGCGGUCCCCAUGCCAUUUCCAUUGUAGUUCACAGAUGCAACCAUGGGCCACUAUGUGGAAGCCGAAACAAAAAAGUCUCUUUAUCACAGAUAGUUUGAGCAGCUCUGGCUCCCGUCCUGACUAUGAGUGAAGGCAGGAAGUGUGAGGAUUGGUCUUGGGCGGUGAGGAUGGGAAUGUGGAUUCACUUCCCAGAGGGUUCAGUGUAGGGGAGCCAUCCAGAGGAAGAACUGGCAGGCUGGACGGUUCCCAAGUCAUCAUCUGGAGUUUGUCCUCAGUCUGCUUCACAGGUCACCAGCUCAGAUGCCUCGCACAGGGGACACAGGAGGUUGACGGGCUCUCCUCGGAACUGGGGAGGCAUGCUGGCCCAUCUGAGCAGGGCUCCCACUUACCUCCAGCACACGGCCACCACGUGCAGCCACCUGCACGGUGUGACUGUCCCUUCUGACUGUCCAGGGUUUCCUGUGGACUCCUCUUUUUCUCUAAAGUUGGAAGAAAUAAAAGUUGAGAAAGCAGCAGCAACCACCA